UUCUAUCAAAAAUUCAACAAAUUCCGAUUCUUUUACACCGUUAAAUUAGCAAGUAUCCCAUACCGGCCAUUAAAAAUUGUCAAAUUUGUGCCCUCUUGAUCGUAAGGUAAAUGAUGUCGAAAAAUUAUAAAAUUUGAUUUCUAAAAGUUUUAAAUGCUGUAAAUAACGUUUAACGGUAUGGAUCGUCAAUUCGGAAGCUCUAUCAUCGAAAACAAUUUAUGAGUACGAGAGCGAUCGUACUCAUAAUAGUAUAGUAGCCGGACCCUAUAUAUAUAUAUAUAUAUAUAUAUAUAUAACUAGGCUGGAAUAAUAUUAAUAGCACCAAUAACUUGGCGCUACUAAAUUUUCUGCUCUUGAUCUUAAUCAUUUAAUAAUAAGUAUUUGUGUCUGAUCACUGGCACUAACCAUUAAUCCCAAAAAGACGAACAAUUAAAAAUGCGCAACUAAUUCACUUAAGAUGUACAGAUAUAGUGCUUAUGGGCUUCGAUUGUGAUUCAGCUUAAACAGUCUCAUGCCACUUUGAAUAUGACUCAGCCCAACCCAGCCUCAUACUAUUUCACUACACGUGACUUGGCUCAACCUGAUUUUU
rnacentral:lncRNA from 1 species